rnacentral:rRNA from 1 species
UAAAAAGCUUCAAACUGGGAUUAGAUACCCCACUAUGCCCAGCCAUAAACACUGAUAUUAUUUGAUCCGCCAGAGGACAACGAGCAAAGCUUAAAACCCAAAGGACUUGGCGGCGUUCCACACCACCCUAGAGGGGCCUGUCACAUAAUCGAUAACCCACGAUAAACCUCACCAUUUUUAGCCCACAUCAGCCUAUAUACCGCCGUCGCCAGCUCAUCUUGAAAAAGAAACAAAAUGGGCCCAAUAGUCUUUACACUAACACGACAGGUCAAGGUGUAACUAAUAAAAUGGCAAACGAUGGACCACAUUGCUCUCCAGCUAAACCAAAAUUGCACUGAAACACACACUUUAAGAUGAAUUUAACAGUAAGACAGACAAGAAAAUCUGCCUAAAGACUGCUCUGGAACGUGCACACACCGCCCGUCACCCUCUGCAGUCAA